rnacentral:lncRNA from 1 species
GAAAUUUAUCAGAGAAAUUUUAAAGAAAUAUUAAAAUAAUUUUUUUAAAAAAUAAUAUAAUUAUCAUAUUACAUAAUAUAAUAAUCCACCUUGCUCAGGAGGCAUGAAAGAUUUGAAGUGAGGAGAGAAGGUGGCAAUAGUCAUCUAGAAGGGUGUGCACUUUUUAAAAACAUGAAUGUCAACAGUUGCAGAUAAAAUUUAGAAAAUUUUGCGAGAAAGUUGAACAUUUUGGUUUAUUAAACCUAAAAGAAAUGGAUUUUAAACAUCCCUCAUAAAUCUGAUCCCUGAUUCUGAGAGUUCAGGCUCGUUGGAGGGGGGAAAGGAGAAGAGAUUACAUCACAGUUUUUCCUCAGGUUUCUUUAUCGGCUAAGGCAGUGUGACUAUUUGUACAUCUCAUCCUCUGACACUCCAUUCCUAACAUGAAGACUAGUGAAAAGUUAAACAAAUUACUAUUUUAACUGAGUUUGAAGAAGUUUAUAGCUGUAAACUUAACUGGAUAAAAAUCUUGACAUUCUAUGGGUUUCCAGUUUUAUUCAGCUCCUAAAAGAGAACUCUUGUCAUCCUGUUUCUAUAUAUAUUUUAAUUGCACUUUGUUCUAAAGAACUACAUUCAUCCUACAGCAAAUUGGAAUGGGAUGCAUAUGUUUGCUCAUAAAACCUAUAACAGCCCUUAAAAUGUAAUCAAUUUUCUCUAAAAAGACUGAAUAUUCAUUCACAGUCCAUCAAGCCACUCCCAGGAAAAGCAGUCUAAUUUAUCUUCUCCUAAGACCUUCAUAACAACUACUUUUUUUCUGAACAGAAAGGAGGAAAAACAUUUCUUCAUUUCCCUAGUGACGUCUGGGACAAUGCUUUGUCCAAAGCACCUGACUGCAACUUUCUUCUUCUUCAAUCCAUUGACAAGUGGUUUGUAAAAGUAUUAUUCUGUAAAAUCACUAGACAAUGGACGAAUGAUGCCCUUCCAAACAACACUUCUUGAAAUUUCUAAUCAAAAUGUUCUAUCUGAAGUAGCUUGGGUCUGACAGCAAGCCCCACCAUGAAAUGCCAAUGUUUAUUCAUUCAGCGCUCCUCUGCCUUUCGAAGACGACUCCGGCUUUGUCCUCCUGCAGGGAAGAGCAUGCUCUUACGUUUGCAGACAGCAUUUGACAAAGUUCCACAUCAGAGAUCAAGGUCUUGGUAGAGAGAUUGAGGUCUAAAAAAGGAGGAAAACAGAAUGGACAUAAAUGUACAUAAAAUGGAUUGAAUGCUGGCUAAAGGGCAGAAGAGGGUAUGGUCAUAAAUAAAAACUUUUCAUGGUGACAAAAGGUAACUGGAGAUAUAUUAUUGGAUCACUGUGAGGAUCCCACUUAUUUAUUAACUGUUAAGGUGAAUUUGGCAAUCGAACUGAAAGGAAAAUAUCUUGUCUUUUAAAUAUAGUCAUGUCAGAGAAAUGGAGAAUAACAUUGAAAUUCUAUUUUCUGCAGGAAAAAGCAACAUUAAAUUAUGGGAUAUAUAUUUUAUAAAUUGAUUCAAGCUAAUAGGCCUUCAGUUUGAAAUGUUAAUCUACAUUUUUUGAUAUCUUUUACCUCCACACUAUUAUUAAAAAGGGCAAGUAAGCAAAUUGUAAAGAGAAGGGAAAGAAUUGAAAGUAGAGUGUCCAU